UGGGGAAUUUUGGACAAUGGGCGCGAGCCUGAUCCAGCCAUGCCGCGUGCGGGAAGAAGGCCUUCGGGUUGUAAACCGCUUUUGUCAGGGAAGAAAUCUUCUGAGUUAAUACCUCGGGAGGAUGACGGUACCUGAAGAAUAAGCACCGGCUAACUACGUGCCAGCAGCCGCGGUAAUACGUAGGGUGCAAGCGUUAAUCGGAAUUACUGGGCGUAAAGCGUGCGCAGGCGGUUUUGUAAGACAGAGGUGAAAUCCCCGGGCUCAACCUGGGAACUGCCUUUGUGACUGCAAGGCUUGAGUGCGGCAGAGGGGGAUGGAAUUCCGCGUGUAGCAGUGAAAUGCGUAGAUAUGCGGAGGAACACCGAUGGCGAAGGCAAUCCCCUGGGCCUGCACUGACGCUCAUGCACGAAAGCGUGGGGAGCAAACAGGAUUAGAUACCCUGGUAGUCCACGCCCUAAACGAUGUCAACUGGUUGUUGGGAAGGUUCCUUCUCAGUAACGUAGCUAACGCGUGAAGUUGACCGCCUGGGGAGUACGGCCGCAAGGUUGAAACUUAAAGGAAUUGAC
rnacentral:rRNA from 1 species